rnacentral:lncRNA from 1 species
GUCACUCAGUAAGAUGGUUCGGAUCAUUUCCACUUUCUCUGUGAGUUGGUUACUGAUAAGCUGCCAAAAAGUAACCGGGAUGCUGAAAUGCAAAAAUGUGGUGUCUAGUCAUGAUAUAGAGUCACAAGCUAGUCUAAUGCCAGAUCUUAGCCAUUAUGUUUUACACCUAGAAGGAGAGGAAGUAUUAAUUGAUUUGAUGAUGCAAAGCAACUGUGAUGUGGUAGAUAAAUGGAUAGGGAUGGGGAAAAAGGACCAGCCUAAACAUCUAAUACAAUUUUUGGAGAAAGUGAAGUCAUCACCUGGAUUCAGGGGAGUGCACGAAUUCGACCAUGCUAAAAUUCCUUCUUUAGACUCGGAAGAACCUCCUAAUUGCUGGGCUCUUCCUAUAGUGACACUGACAAGCAUUGCAAUUGCACUUC